UACGUAGGUGGCGAACGUUAUCCGGAAUUACUGGGCGUAAAGGGUCUGUAGGCGGUCUGAAAGGUCUGGCGUGACAAUUCUCGGCUUGACUGAGAGAGUGCGUUGGAAACCGGUAGACUGGAAUCACGUCGAGGUCGGUGGAAUUCCCGGUGUAGUGGUGGAAUGCGUAGAGAUCGGGAGGAACCCCUAAAGCGAAGGCAGCCGGCUAGACGAUGAUUGACGCUGAGGGACGAUAGCGUGGGGAGCGAACAGG
rnacentral:rRNA from 1 species